UACGAAGGGGGGCUAGCGUUGCUCGGAAUUACUGGGCGUAAAGGGUGCGUAGGCGGGUCUUUUAAGUCAGGGGUGAAAUCCUGGAGCUCAACUCCAGAACUGCCUUUGAUACUGAAGAUCUUGAGUUCGGGAGAGGUGAGUGGAACUGCGAGUGUAGAGGUGAAAUUCGUAGAUAUUCGCAAGAACACCAGUGGCGAAGGCGGCUCACUGGCCCGAUACUGACGCUGAGGCACGAAAGCGUGGGGAGCAAACAGG
rnacentral:rRNA from 1 species